rnacentral:rRNA from 1 species
CCUACGGGUGGCAGCAGUGAGGAAUAUUGGUCAAUGGCCGAAAGGCUGAACCAGCCAAGCCGCGUGAAGGACGAAGGUGCCAAGCAUUGUAAACUUCUUUUGUCAAGGGACAAAAUCAGGCUCGAGAGCCUGACCGAGGGUACUUGAAGAAAAAGCAUCGGCUAACUCCGUGCCAGCAGCCGCGGUAAUACGGAGGAUGCGAGCGUUAUCCGGUUUAAUUGGGUUUAAAGGGUGCGUAGGCGGAUCGUUAAGUCCGUGGGCAAAGUGAGGGGCUCAACCCCUUCCCGCCAUUGAAACUGGCGCGCUUGAGUGGAAGAGAGGUAUGCGGAAGUCGUGGUGUAGCGGUGAAAUGCAGAGAUAUCACGCAGAACCCCGAUUGCGAAGGCAGCAUGCCGGCUUCCGACUGACGCUGAAGCACGAAAGCGUGGGGAUCGAACAGGAUUAGAUACCCGAGUAGUC